ACUGCCCGCGCACACACUAUAAUGUCGCUCCAGGCUCACGAAGUCGGUGUUGUAUAUGCCCUCCAGUCCGGAGACUGGAUACGACGGAUUCAGCUCCAACGCUCAACCCGAAGAACACCAAUACCUCAUCUCGCGCCUGGGCGAGGUUUUCGGCCAGUGACAUUGAGGGAACUGUGUUACAUGCUAACCCCUCCCACCACUCCAGGUGGGACAUGAUGUGGUCUCAAAACUGGACGCAAAAGCCAUCGUGUUAGCCAAGAGAGCACAGAAGUCAGCAGAGGGGGCUUUCCUGUGGCGAAGGACUGAACGACCCCCUGGGCCUUUGAAUUAUGAAGACAGAAGUGUUACAGAAAUUUUGUCAUCUGCCUCAUCACAAGCUUCUGCCUCAUCACCAGUCUCCUCAUCAAGAGCAGCAGCCAGACCACAACUUGGUAAAUCAACAAAGAGAUAAAGAAGUGAUCAGGAUGCUCUUGGCAUGGCGUAUGAAUUCCUAACCAGACAGGAAACACAGGAAAAGGCAGUUGCAAAAGUUUGGAGUAUGAAACUGAAAUCAAUGAAUCCAGAACAGUCAAUAGUUGCUCAGAAGCAUAUUUCUGACAUAUUAUUGGCAGGACAACCGGGAACUCUGGGGAUAACAUAUGCAUAUCCAGUACUGAUCCAGACCAGAGCAACACAACCAGAAGAGAAAGUACCAGGUCAGAAUGGGGCAAUAAAAAAGAUUUGUGAAUCCUCAAACAGCCAGACAAGCACACAAGUUUUGUAUGCAAAAGAGUCUUAGUGACAUAUUUGAAUAAAUGUAAUUUUGAUACAGUU